CUAUCUCACCUCCGCAUUGAUCUGAAAGAAACUCCCAGUAUGGCAGUGCAACAUGCUGGCCUGAUUGCCAUCCACAACACCUGUUGCUUGUUGAGCUUAAUUGAGUCACACACCACAACCCUGACAUUAGUAGUUAAGAUCAAGGUCAUCUUUUUUUAUCCCAAAAUAGGGAAACUCCGGUGGUCAAGGUGCAGAUACACAAAACUGUCAUAAAA